GGAAGGAUGGCAGAGCGGUUUAACGCGCUUGUCUUGAAAACAAGAGUAGCUAAUAACUACCGUAGGUUCGAAUCCUACUCCUUCCGCCA
rnacentral:tRNA from 1 species